rnacentral:tRNA from 1 species
GCGCUCGUAGCUCAGGUGGAUAGAGCAACAGACUUCGAAUCUGUAGGUCGCACGUUCAAGUCGUGUCGGGCGCACUU